rnacentral:rRNA from 1 species
CCUACGGGUGGCAGCAGUGAGGAAUAUUGGUCAAUGGGCGAGAGCCUGAACCAGCCAAGUCGCGUGAGGGAGUACUGCCCUAUGGGUUGUAAACCUCUUUUGUCGGGGAGCAAAAGCCGGACGUGUCCGGCUGUGAGAGUACCCGAAGAAAAAGCAUCGGCUAACUCCGUGCCAGCAGCCGCGGUAAUACGGAGGAUGCGAGCGUUAUCCGGAUUUAUUGGGUUUAAAGGGUGCGCAGGCGGAUUUUUAAGUCAGCGGUCAAAUCGUGGGGCUCAACCCCAUCCAGCCGUUGAAACUGGGGAUCUAGAGUGUGCGAGAGGUAUGCGGAAUGCGUGGUGUAGCGGUGAAAUGCGUAGAGAUCGGGAGGAACACCAGUGGCGAAGGCGGCCUACUGGGCUUUAACUGACGCUGAGGCACGAAAGCAUGGGUAGCAAACAGGAUUAGAUACCCGGGUAGUC